GAGGAAUAUGAACUCUAAAGAACACAUUUGACUCACUCCUCUGGCCUCUCCAUAUUCAUGUUAAAGUGCACAUGUGUGCAUGCACACAUACACACAUAAGCCCACAAAUUAAAAAAAAUUCAAUAAUUAAAAAUAAUUCAACUGUUUGAUCACUGAACCACAUUUUAAGUGCUUCAAAAGAUGCAUGUGACUAGUGAUAAUAAUAGAGAGCACACAUAUAGAACAUUUCAAUCUUCAUAUAACAGUCAGUAAUGCAAUCCUUCCUAGGCUUUCUGAUCUAAUGUAGGAAAAGAUUUCUUCCUUCUAUCAUGGAGUUAUGAGCUCAAAUGAAGUAAUGUAGGUGAGAUACAUCUUGAAAAAGUGUUGUGUACUUUGUGAGGCAGGUAAUAUUUUAAUUAAGCAUAUUGCUUAAUUUUUGCCCAAAUGAGAUUAUAAACUACUGUCAGCACCAGCACUAGCACCAGCAGUCUUCACACCCCACUUUUACUUUCCAGAAACAAACAAGUCUGUAGAAAUUCUUGUUUUCUGAAGAAGUCUGUAAUACUGUGGAGAGUGUACACUGGCCACGACCUCAUAGGGUUAAAUGGUAUAUAUGGGUUCUUAGCAAAGCCGUUACAUAAAGACUCACAUCUAAGAUGGUAAAGCCACUUUAAAGUAACUUGUCACACAAUUGGCCAGAUGAUCCUGGGCUCCAGGUUCAUCUUUGUGAAUAACUGAGACAUCCUAGUCAUAUCUUGAUCACCUUCAACUAUUUGUAAACCCCCAUGGCCAAUCCCUGGUACUUUGGAACAAUAUAGGAAGUGGACUAAAGAAAUGGCUUUAGUGCAGCCUAGCUUCUAAACCACCUAUGACCCCAAGGAGUGUCUUAUAAAAAUGUACAGGUCAUAGGCAUUUAAUCUUAUAUUCAAAAAUAUUGAUAGAAUCAUCCUACAUUUUUGAUGUUUUCAUUUUCAGACAGAUUAAAUCUAAUAAAACAAUAGAAUGUACAACAUAAUCAUGGGUAGACAAACAAAAUAUAAGCCAGUCUCUUCUGUCCCUAUGCUACUUGGUAUUUAUCAUGAUUAUGAUUUUUGUGGAUAGGAGUUCAGAGACUCAAUUUAAGAACAAGGUGAGUGUGUUAUGUCCAUAACUCAGUAAUCAAAAGUACUUACCAUACCAUGCAAGCUCUGAUAUUUGUAUCAGAAUUGCUCGUAACACAGUAAAUUAUGGUGUCCUAAGAAACAUGAACAAAGAUGGAAACACUAUGCCCUUCCUUACAGUAAUUCUGUUAGUGAACUACAUACAAAGAAAUGGCUUCUUUUUUUAAAAGAAUGCUUUUUAAAGAUAGCAGUAAGAAGAAUAUAAUUAAUGGGGCUAUUGUAUUUGUAUUCUUAUUCUAAAUGAACUGGGUGAAUCAGUAAAUGUUCUUAGUGGCAAAUCACAUGUAAAGUAUUAUCUCUGAAAUCCCAAAAGCUCUUGGCUUCCAGUUUCUACAAAAGUCUACUUUACCAAACAUCAGUCUUUCACAUCUCCACAUUUAUGUGUGUAUAUAAUUAUAAUAUGUAAACACACACACACUUCCUAGAUGUCUGGAGCAGUAGAGAAUUUCAUUUAUAUUUUAGAGAUUUAUAAAUGGAAGUUAAGAAAAUAUAGGUCACAUACCAUGUUUUUGAACUGAGAGAAAAAAAACAAUUUAGGGUUGCAAACUAUAGAGACAAGGAGCCAACAUUUUAUUCAUAAUCUGGGAAGAACUAUUUGGGAAAGCUUGGGCAGCGCCUUUAGUCCCGAGCGUAUGUAUUUCUUUAUUGCACAAUGCUGUUGAGUCCUAACUUUGCUGCAUGGGUUGUAGGAAGGCUUCUCUUCAGCAAUCCAAGUGAGCUGCUUUACAUUCGUUCCCUUAGCACAGAUGAGUAUGCAGUAAGUAAGUGUUCACUGACGGUCAAAGCCGUUUACUUUUAAAUUCUCUACCAUGCUUUAUCAACUGGUUUUGAAGCAUCUAUCCAUUGCUUGUUUGGUCCCUCAAGGUUUAAUUUUAUUUUAGAGCUCUAGUAGUUUGUAUGAUCUGAUAAACUGUAACUGUUUUUAAAUGAUCAAAUUACUACAGCAGUAGGAGACAUUUUAUUAGUUACUAUAUAUUUUCAAUAUAAAAUCUGACUAAAAACAGAAGCACACAUAUCCAAAUGUCCAUAGGACAAGUACAAUUCAUUAUUUAUUUUCUCUUUCAAAAUAUAGAUUUUGACAGACUAAAAGGAAAACCCUUAGUCUGGUGAUUCUGGAACGUUUCCUCUGACUGAUUGUCCUAUCUCCCAGGAAUAGAAGGAAGGGAGAAGGGAGCAUGGUAUUUGAUGGUCUCAAAAGUGUCUCAGAAUAUAAGAACCAAGAGUCCUCAUAUGUCUUCACAGAAGUCAGCUAAUAAAUCAAAAGCAUGUUCUUAGCUAAUUCACAUGUUUCCUCAGAAACCCCAUGACCUGAUGCCAAUGAACUCAGUUGUCAGAUACCUAACAGACUGUCUUCUUGUUCUGAAUUAGUGACGAAUGUAACAGCACACACAUUUAUGAGGCUGGGAAAACAUUUUUAGUUUAUUUUAUGCCCAGAUUAGCUAUUGCUGGCCUAAUGAAUGCACUAUAAAACCUAAAGUCAUACAUAAAGGAAGAAAUUUGUUGAUAGUAGGAAAAGUUAAGUAUUGCAAUAUGCUAUAUUAAAAAAUAGUUACAAUUAUUUAAAAGUAAUUACUUUUAUAUAAAAUUUGGCAUUUUUACCCCAUAUUUAGCCUAUACUUUCAAAGUGGAUUUACAUGUCUAUAUCAUUUGUAGAAAUGAGAUUGUAAAAUAAAAUGCAUAUUUUUAUAAUAAUUUUAACCAAGUCCAAGCCUGCUGGCAUUAUCCUGUCUUAAUCAAGAAAGAAUUAAGACAAUCCCUCUUAAAAUGUUGUUAUACUGAUGCCUUUAUACAAUGUAUAAAUGAAUACUGAGAUAAUUGAAGAUAUUAGUUUACACAGAUUUUAUUUUAAUUUGAAAUGCUAAAAUGUCAGUGACAGUGUGAAGGUUGCUGUGGGUUGGUAUAACUUCAUCAGUAAUGGAAAACUUGUUAGUAUAUAAUUAACUGGCAGUGUC
rnacentral:lncRNA from 1 species